ACCAGGCAGGAAGUUAGACACAGGUUAGCCUCCGGGCACAGCCCGAAGAAGCAACGUGGCACCCGCCUAUCCAUCCUAUUGGCCCACCUCCCAUGGGAAGAACUGCAGGGGUCGGAUGCGCUGCCACAGCUAGCAGUUAAGGCUUUGAUCGAAAACACAGAUCACCAGGGGCACCAAUCAUAGAAGCACCAGAACUCCUGUGCUUCUACCUGCUUCAUUACGUUCAUUACCAACCACCACAUCCAAUUCCUACCCGAUGACGCCAUCUCAAGCCAGCCUGCCUCUUGCCCUCAUAAGGCCCACCAGCCACCACUUC